UAUUAACUUUCCCUAGACUAUUUAAUUUGUAACAAUUUUACCGUGGAUGCAACUAUAGUUUGGAUUAGCUUAUAUUCCUCAAAUGCAUGUUGCUGUAGUCUAAGAAAUUUUUUGCUCAUUGCAGAUUUUAUCGCAGCAAGGAUAUGGACUUUACUUUCAGAAGUUAGCUAGACUGAAAUCAUUUUCUGUUUUUAGGCACAUUGCAAUUUAUUGCCGAACAACUUCAUUCCUAUAAUAAUUCAUGUGAUUCUAUUCAAUAAAAUUGGGUUUUUUCAAUUGCAAUCACAAGUAUUCAAGAUGGCGAGAGAACUUCUUAGAAAGGACUAUUGCAAUCACAAGUAUUCAACGAAAAGUAAGAUAUACUAGAAGCAGCCAU
rnacentral:lncRNA from 1 species